GCGGGUAUAGUAUAGUGGCAGUACGGCUGCCUUCCAAGCAGCAAGCGGCGGUUCGACCCCGCCUACCCGCA
rnacentral:tRNA from 1 species